ACGAAACACAUGGAAAGGCUCGUUGAGAAAUUGAUUUUUUAAAAAUGUAUGGGUAGGAGUACAUUUCGAUUUCGUGUAUUAUAUUCGUGUUCUGACUUAGCUGGUUCUGAGUUACAGAAAUGAAAUCUGACGUUUACACACAGGAAAGUUUACUACAAUUUGAUGGAAAGGUGCAGCUCCGGAUUUAUUGCAACUGAAGGUGAUACGUUUAGUUUUUUCCGAAUUGACAGUAAACAGUUUUUGGCAAAACCAGUCAUUUAUGAGAAUAAAAUCUUUUUCCACCA